GGAAGUAAAAGUCGUAACAAGGUUUCCGUAGGUGAACCUGCGGAAGGAUCAUUACUGAUUUAGCGAACCGAGCGUUAGCGAGGUUUUGCGAUCACUUAUAUUUAAAACCCACUCUUUGAACGUAUAAAAUUUUAUGUAUUAAUGAUAAAAAUAAAAGAUCACUUUCAACAACGGAUCUCUUGGCUCUCGCAUCGAUGAAGAACGUAGCGAAGUGCGAUAAGUAAUGUGAAUUGCAGAAUUCCGUGAAUCAUCGAAUCUUUGAACGCAAAUUGCACUCUCUGGUAUUCCGGAGAGUAUGCCUGUUUGAGGGUCAGUUAAAUAAAAAUCGGUGUUGUUACCGCUUUUCGUGGUGACGCGUCGGAAUUGAGUCGUCUUAUCUUCGGUUAAGUGACUUAAAAUUUUAUAUGAUUUUCGAACGUAUUUAAAUUUAUUUGAACGUUUGAUAUCGAAUGCUUUAUUAGGUUCGGUCAUCCUCAUGACUCGCGCCUAUAAUUUUUCAUUAAAUGACCUCAAAUCAGGUAAGAAUACCCGCUGAACUUAAGCAUAUCAAUAAGCGGAGGA
rnacentral:rRNA from 1 species